rnacentral:rRNA from 1 species
UACAGAGGUGGCAAGCGUUGUUCGGAAUUACUGGGCGUAAAGGGCGCGUAGGCGGUCCUAUAAGUCAGAUGUGAAAGCCCCGGGCUUAACCUGGGAGGUGCAUUUGAAACUGUAGAACUAGAGAUCGAGAGAGGAAAGUGGAAUUACGAGUGUAGAGGUGAAAUUCGUAGAUAUUCGUAAGAACACCAGUGGCGAAGGCGACUUUCUGGCUCGAUACUGACGCUAAGGCGCGAAAGCGUGGGGAGCAAACAGG